UCUAAUGCAACUUUGUGGAAGCACAAUAAUAAACGGCUAACUCCGGUGAGCUGCCAAAAUACACCGAAAUUUGGGUAAAAUUCAGGAAGGUCACGAAGGAAAGGGUCCAGACCCCUGCUGAUCUCACAUUUAGUGCAGACCUCUUCAAAACCGGGCUGCUCUGUCCCAAGAAGCCCUAUGGCCCUUUAUCCUGCCAGCCAUUGGGGCACGGAAGUCAUUGGGUCCAGCGAAGAGCCGGGAUCCGGCUCAAAGGCCUCGUGGAGGAGUAAACACUGGUGCUGAUGAUGCUAUGCCAGGAAAAUCAGAGAUCCCAGUUUCGAAUCUUGUGUCUGAUCAUAAUUCGCUCCUCAACCUCAAACUGCAUUACUCUCAUCAUCUGUAAAAA